rnacentral:rRNA from 1 species
GACGUAGGGCGCGAGCGUUGUCCGGAUUUAUUGGGCGUAAAGAGCUCGUAGGCGGCUUGUCGCGUCGACUGUGAAAUCCCGCGGCUCAACUGCGGGUCUGCAGUCGAUACGGGCAGGCUAGAGUUCGGUAGGGGAGACUGGAAUUCCUGGUGUAGCGGUGAAAUGCGCAGAUAUCAGGAGGAACACCGGUGGCGAAGGCGGGUCUCUGGGCCGGUACUGACGCUGAGGAGCGAAAGCGUGGGUAGCAAACAGG